UCCAACUCUAUUAUUCUAUAAUUCUGUAAUUCGAGCAGGAGUUGGACUGGAAGACCUCCAAGGUCCCUUUCAAAUCUAUUAUUCUCUAAUUCUGUAAAAUUCUGCUUCAGCAGGGGUCAGACUAGAAAACCUCUAAGAUCCCUUUCAGCUCUUCCAAUUCUGAAAGGGUUUCCUGCAAGACCUGUGGGUUGGACUAGAUGACAAGGUUCUUUCCAACUCUAAUUAUUCUAUAAUUCUGUAAUUUGAGCAGGGGUUGGACUAGAAGACCUCCAAGAUCCCUUCCAGUUCUGUUCUGAUGGAAGUGUCUGCCAGAUAAUAAAGGGCUGAAUUUGACCCUGGGGGAGGGAGGGGCCCUUGUAAAACAGCCAGGUCCUCUCUAUGACUUCUCCAUCCUGCAGGGCAACCGUCCAAAUAAUCCGGACCACCCAGUACCAACGGAAGCGAUGGAGACCUUACCAGUUGGGUAGCCUCUCAGCUCUGAGCCAAGGGCUGAUGAAGACCAUGCAUUUCCAACUUUUUGUUGCACCACGUCGAUUUUUGAUACCAAAUUAGUAUUGGCAUCAUUAAGGACAUUGU